ACAAAAGGGACGUUGCUGAUUGGCCGGACGUCUGUGUUUGCCUCGGAGCUGGGAGAGCAGGUCGGAGGAACGGCGUGACGCGUUUUGAGCGGGGCUGCGCUCCCAUUGGGCGGCGCGUCACCGGAAGAGGAAGUCGCGGGGCGUGUGCACACCCACUCGGGGCUCGGGCUGGCUGAGGGGAAAAGCCUCGGGCUGGCUCUGCCUCGGAGGCCGGUUGCCUGGCGUUGGGCUCCAUGCAAUGCGCCGCCUCUCGUAGCGCCAUGCAGCGGGCCGGAGGAGGGGGAGGAGCGGCCGCAUCAGCGGCGGAGCCUGGAGGCGAGGCUGUUGCUGCGGCCGCGGCCUCCUACCGCGUCCUGAGCCGUUUCCUGGGCUACGGCGGCCCCGAGUCCGCCUCAGCCGUGGGCGACGAGGCAACGGGCGGCUUGAGGGGCUCGCAGCUCUUGGUCUUCCGGCCUGGUGAGGCGGCGGUGUCCCCGGCCUUGCCUCCGCCUCAGCAGCCGCCUCCUCCUCCGCCUCCUCCACCGCCAGAGCUGCUUUGCGCCCCUCAGAAAGGAUGCCACUGCCAACCUGCAGCCGGGCGGUGCUGGAACGGCGCGGCCGGCGGCCUACUCUUCCCUCCAGGCGCCGGCCUCGAGUUGCAGCUCGCCGCCUUGGCCCUCGGGACGCCCGGCAAACCCCCCAGCGCUUGCCCUUGCUCGCCUCAGGUCCCGCCGCCUUCGCUGCUGCCUUUGGUGCCGCCGGGGGAGGAAACCAGCGACGCCUUGCUGGUCCUGGAAGCCCUGGGCCCCGAAGAGGAGGAGGAGGACAACGAAGGAGAACAGGCUUCAGCAACAUCAACCACAACAGAAGCCUCCAACCCGGCUAACGUAGCGGGCGGGCGCUACUUUCAAACCCCCGCGCCGCCUGCCUCUCCCGCCCCGAAGCGGCCCCCCACCCCGUCCAGGAAAGGCUCCUUCAAGGUGCGCCUCAGCCGCCUUUUCCGCACCAAAAGCUGCAGCGGAGCGGCCGCCUCCGGGGGAACGCGUCGGGGAGGGGAAAAGGAACUUCUGCAAGCCGCCGCUGCUUCUGCCGCCCCGGGGAACGCGGGCACAGCGGGGAGCCUUCCCGAUGUUUCCCACCCUGGGUGCCGCGAACCAGACUCGGGCAGAAAGCCAAGACUGAUGCGAACACAAAGUGCCUUUUCUCCCGUUGUUUUUGGUCCCCUCUUCACAGGUGAGACAGUGUCGCUGGUGGAUGUGGAUAUCUCUCAGCGUGGUCUAACGUCUCCACAUCCUCCUACACCACCACCUCCCCCACGACGAAGCCUCAGCCUUUUGGGUACAGCUUGCAUUCUCAUAUCUUUUAAAAUAGACCUCAUACUUUUUUCCCAAAACUUUUUUUCAUGAGAAUUAGUUCUGACUUCUUUUUCCAUCUGUCACUGUCCUAUUUUUUUAUUUCUGAGAAACAGGACUUUCUUGGAUUUCCUUCUGCUUUUAGUUUAAAAAGGAUUUGGCAUAUUGGGCCACUAAUUUGCUAUUUAUGUGAUUGAUUUUUUUUCUUUAGGCUUGAAGGCAGAUACAACCUGCCUAAAUUCAGAGGAGAAUAAAUAUAGUCCCUAGAUCCCAACCCCCAUAGGUGUGCAGUGUCCACUUGUAAUGUGUAACAAAGCUAUCCUGUGUGUAUUCUGUGCUGAAGCAUGCUGAUUCUUUUUCUCUCCACUCCAAAUUCUGCACCACACAAUGCAAAUUGAAUAGCCAGAUUCUAUAGCCCUUGCAUGAAUUAAGUAAAUGUGCAUGUUUUGCAAAUUCUGUUAACUUGUGUGGAAGAGUAAGGAAUUAAGCAGGAUGGUGAUGUCUCUUUUUCUUCAAACAUGGAGUUGCUAUUUAUGAAGUUGUAAAGUUGCCUAUGUUUGGCUGUUUCCCAGGAUUAAUAUAACAUUAUAGCAUUCACAAUAUUCCAGUGUUUAACACUGAGGUGGUUGAUAAACAAAUAGUCAAGUACAGGAUAUUUUCUGUGUUCAUUUAUAGAUCCGACUGAAAUUCAAGAUUUGUUUUAGGUUUAAAUUCAUUUCCUUUCAGAGAAGCUGUGUCUUUUGAACUGGUUAUUUACACUUGCAAAUGUCUUGAGUUUCACAUUUUCACUUGGAAGAGUUUAAAACUUAAAAUCAAUUUGGAUUUAGCUAAUCUUUUGGGAUGUUAUUUUAUCCCCUUUGUCUUUCCUUGAAUUUUACUUUGAAGUACUCCUCUUCAUGUGUCUGUAUGUAAGGAAACUAGAAAUGGAUGGCACGAAGCAUUAGAAUAAGAUUCCUACCCACCUUUCUCAACCUGUCAACCCCCAGAAGUGCUGGGCUGCAACUCCAAUCACUCUAUUCUAGGGAUGAUGUGGGUGGUGGCCCAACAUUUCUAGAGGGUGCUGUUGAGAUACUACUGCUUUUGAGCAAUGUUGCUUAAGCUGUCUGAUGCAGAAGGACAAGCAGGUUAUAUAUCCCAAUGUGUCAUAUUUGUGUCUAUUGACUACAGUUGUUUCUUUCUUACCUGGAUCAGCAGACAAUAGUUUGUUUUCUAUGGAUCACCAUUUUAAGAAGCACUGACCUGUAGGAUACAGAAAACUUGUUAAACCAGGAAGAUAGGCCACUUCAAAAACAAUAGCAUCAGCAGGGGCCAGUUCCAGCUCCCAGAACUGCUGCAUUCUGCACACUCCCACUAUUGCAAUGCUAUUUCAGUCUUCAGUAGUAUGAUUUGAGGGUGGACCGGGGGUUGUUUAGCUUGAUGCUGUUACAUAUGUGGAACAAACACUGUUGUGGUCUGUCUCUUCCUAUGUCAUCAAGAAGAAGUUGUUGAAGCAGGAGAGGCAGAGUGGUGGCAGCAUUGUACCUCUUGUAACAUCUAUCCUUUCAUGAACAUCAAGCCCAGAAGUUCUUUCUUUGCAGAGUACUGUUUGUUGGGCCUGUAUGAUGUGUCAUUUGUUAAACCAGAUGCAAAUAACUAGUUGCAUACCUUGAUUUAGCAGGUGAUUAACAGCUCCCCGUUGGUUCCCUGCUUUUGUCUAGGAAAGCAAUGAAAAUGGAAGGUUGAAUGAGUUCCCUGUUGCCUGCCAUGCAUGUCUGGUAUGCUGUAUUUAGCUUGGCAGGCCAUGUAUUGUAGGCACCUGCUGUAUUUUAAAUAUAGAAUUUUUUCCAAAAAAAUCCCUUCAGUUAUGCAUGGCUUCUUUCCAUUUAAAUGUAUUCAUUACAUUGAAAUUUAUGCUUUCAAGUGAUUCAGACUCUGGUACUCCAAAACUAAACAGAUGUUAUGUGAGCACUUGCUUCCUUUUACAGUAACAUUAGUAUAAAUGUGUGAGCUUGUUUAUAAUAAAUCCCAACAUCUUUAUGCCUAUAUGAAGUGAUUACUCAUAUUGCUAAAGCAUGAAGAAACUCCCCCCAAACAGAUUACAAGCAUCUUGACUUACCUGUGUCAAAGAUCAUUCGGGAAGAUGAUGUACUUUGUUCAUAUUUUUUGGGAAUUUUUUCCCUGAAAAAUAACUUUUAACCAUAAUACUGAUAGUAUGAAAUGGUUUCUAAUUAGCACAUUCAAGAAAUGAGUGAGAAACCUUCAACAGUAAUAUGUGUUUAUUUUUAUUAAUGUUGCAAAAGGGCCAAGACGGCUGUUUAAAACUCUGAGAAAACCUAGGCAUGUAUUUUUGCCAGGUUGCAUUUCAUACCUCUUGGACCUUUCAAUUUUUUUUUUGUUCUUCUUCUAGAUGAUAUCAGUGGGACACUGCCUACAUCUGUCUUAGUGGGUCCGAUGGGGUCUUCGUCCCUCCAGUCUUUUCCUCUGCCUCCGCCGCCUCCGCCGCAUGCCCCUGGUCAGUUUAGUCUUGAUGCUCAAGGUUUCCAAAAUUUCUUUUGUGAAGAUGUACAAGUUAGCUGAGUUUCUCAAUUUGAUUAAUGGAUUUUUGGGCGCAAGGCGGUGUGCAAGAAAUGGGACAGAUAGAAAACAGUUCCUCAUAUAUUUGUGAUAUACACAGUUUUUAAAAUCUUUCUUUUGAGCAUGCUAAUUUUUCUGUGGGAAACAUGUAUACACUGGAAGCCCUAGAGUGACAUUCACAGGAUUCCACUGCGUCUCUCCCCACCUUACCCAUUGCAAGGCUUUUUUGUAACUUCUGGCUGUCUCCUCUCAUAUGAAACAGUGAUUCCUGUAGAUGUCUCUGGGAUAUUUUAUGGCAUUCUGGCUAGUGAGCUGGAAAUAACAUUUGUGUGGAAUUUUCCAUUGUAAAUGUUUGGAAGGAUUGCAUGUUAACUAAAGAGUUUAGGAUUUUCUUGCUGAAUCAGAACUAUUUUGGCAAGUAAUGUUUCGAGAAUUACAAUGAGAAGCCAAUUAUAACUCAUGCCAUUAAUAUAAUUGACUUGAUAACCAAGUAAUGGCUUUUAACAUCAUUAAUCAAAGUUGUAACAAAUUAUGGGUGACAAGAAUAUGUUGUGCAAAUUAUUUCCCAUGUGUUGGAAAAGCCUGCAACCAAAUGAAUAUAUAUCCACCUAGCUCCAUACGUAUAUCUGACUUCAGUUUGCCCUUGAAGUAGUUGAUGUGUGAGUUUAUGGAUCCUUGUAGCUACUCGUGCUGCAAAAUUGAGAUCCUCUCCUGGCAUGUAACUAUUUUGUUUCAGGUUUAAUUUGGAUUUUCUUUCUAAAUUAGCUGGAACCUAUAUUUAUGUAACAACUUGCCAUCUGAGGAAACCAAAUCAACAGAGACAAAAACAAAGGAAAAUGUAUUGAAUGAGUGUGCUGUGUGGGCAUGAAUAGAGAUGUAUGUUUAUUUACCUGUUAUACAUUGGGGUAAACAGUGUAUUAGAGAUUAGGUUGGAAAAAUUAGGUUGCUAAAAUUGACCCAUGUGUGAAGACUUCCCUCCUGAAAUUUGUCAGUGCAUGGAAGGCCAGGAUGGUUCUAUGUGUUGGAUAAAUGAAAUGCUGUGCAUCUGUGUCUCACUUCGUUUUGUGGCUACUACAAGAUGUACCCCACCUUACCUCAGUUACUAUUUCUCUUUUCCCAUCUGUUUUCACUUCCCUGUAUAGUUAGACGCUAGCCUCCUCUCUAUAUUUUGAAGGCUUCUCUACCACCAAUCGAUAUUUGAGAUAAGAUGCAUUAAACUAUAAAGUCAAGUCUUUUGAGACACUACUUGUCUUUGGGCUGGGGAAGGACUGGGGAAUCUUUGCCUCUCCAGAUAUUUUGGCUUAGGACAGCAGAAGUUCUACACAACAUGGCUGAUAGUAGGGGACUGUGGGAGGCCAAACUAUUUCUCCACUCAUCCCUUAGAACAUGCAGUGUCCAUGGACAUCUCCUUGGAGACAUCUUGAUUGUCUUUUAUCCAGAACUUCUUACUCUUACUUAUAAAAGCAUUUUGAUAUUAAUGUAUUAUUAAUAUUAGUGUACUAAAACUUUCAGCUGAAAAAAAGUGUUUUUGUGUGCAAUAAAAUACUUUUUACUAUAGGAAACAUUCAAUAUAGAUAGCUGCAGGCAUUUGCAUAAUGCUUUUCCAUUAGUUCGAAUAAUGUGACAUCAGUUGUGCCACUGUUUUCUUGUCUUCUGGCGACUUGGAAGGAAAGCAUUGGCGGAAAUCAACAUAGAAUGCCUAUAAUAAUAAACCUGUAAUAUUGAGGAUAAGCCACAAAAAUAUAGACAUAGG
rnacentral:lncRNA from 11 species